GGCCCUGUAGUUCAACGGAUAGAAUAGUCGUUUCCUAAACGAUUGAUCCAGGUUCGAUCCCUGGCAGGGCUA
rfam:Reichenbachiella agariperforans strain DSM 26134 genome assembly, contig: Ga0070003_101